GCUCACUGCAUCCUGAAACUCCUGGGCUCAAGCAAUCUUUCUGCCUCAGCCUCCUGAGUAUCUGGGACUGCAGGAACAAGCUACCACACCAAGAGAGUGCUGGAAGGGAGACUGCUGUCCCCACAAUGGCUGCAGCCCCAUUCCUUUCUCCAAGCUGCUUGGGUGAACAUUCCAGGAUCCUGACAUUCUGUGGAAAUUGAUGAGUGCUUGCUCAAAGGUCGAUGAUGUGCUACAGAUGGCAUCACCUGUUAGAGACAGAGCUUUCUCAAGAGGAGCUUUGAUUUCCUUUACUUCCUGAACUGCUAUUUCACAGUCUCUCAGUAGAUGUCAGCAGCACAGCAAACAUCUCGGUGCCCAUCAUGGAAGCAGGAUACUUUUCCCUCAAGAGCAAAACUGGGGCAACUUCAGAGCGCACAUGUGAUAUAAUACCUCUCCUGGGCACCACCAGUCUGAGGACAAAGUACCAGGGCUAUAUCCACCUUGAAAUAUUGGAUGCUCCGAAGAAAUGCCACAUGUGUCUGGGCCUCUGAUACUUAGCACAAGCUCUGUAUACUUGGAACAUCUUACACCAUUUUCUACCUAUUGUAAUUGUAUUUACUUAGCAAAUGUUGUCUUCUACAUGAAGCCCUCAAGGAUGCCCUAGGUGCAGCUAAUCACUCAUUGCAUUUUAUAUGAUCCUAUGAACCUAUGCUGUAACAGUGGGAUUGUUUCUGUAUUUCUUAACAAUCUGUGAGCCCCUUGAGUCUAUAACCAUACGUUAUUAUCUUUGUACCUCAA